rnacentral:lncRNA from 1 species
CCCAUAUUCUAAUUAUUUGAAUUUUUGCACUGAGCUCCGGUUUGUUUCUGACUUCCUGCACUAGAUUUUUAGGCAGUAACUGUCAUAGAAAUAGUGCUCCUUGCAUAAGGUGCUUAGAAAACUUAGAUUCACAACUGAAUUUAAUAAAGGUGACACAAUAAGAAUAAUGCAAUACUCUAAAAUUAAACAUAUGCCUUUAAGGUGCAUACAUAUAUAUUUCCCCACAUUUUGUCUAAACUACUCAGUUUUGAAAACAAACUUUGAUCUACAAUUAUGCCUUUCAAAUGCUCCCUCCGUAGGCGGCUCAUUAGGAUUUGGAACAAAAUACUAACCUUUCAUUUGUGUUUGAUUUAUGCACUUUUCUGAACUCGUGCUUUUACUGUACGUGUGUGCAGAUUGGACCUGGCUCAGUCUCUGGGACUCACACAGCUCCAGGUGAAGACAUGGUACCAGAACAGACGCAUGAAAUGGAAAAAAAUGGUGCUAAAAGGAGGACUCGAGGCUCCUACCAAGCCCAAAGGCCGACCUAAGAAGAACUCCAUCCCAACCACAGAGGAGAUCGAGGCCCAGGAACGGCUGGCGGCCAAACUAGCGGAGGAUGAGAUGCAACCAGCCGAAGUGGAAGAGGAGGUCUUCCAAUUUCAACCUCAAGAUCUCAGUACGUCUGCUACGUCUGAAUCCGUCUGUCCAGAAACCCCGGAGCAAGAACAGGCCCCUCCGUCUCCGUCAGAAGCAAUGACGACUAGCUAAACGCAGCCAUGCUGACGCACAACCAAAGACAGCUACUGAAAGACUUUGACUCUCUCUGGACUUGAGCAGUUGAACGGCUUCCCAAGCCUGAUUUUGAGUUGACGGUGGCCCCCAAAAGCGGUACUUUAAACAUGCAAAAAUGUGUGAAAGUCAUUACAAAACAACGAAACAUCAAACCAAGUGGCUUGUAUAACCAAAACAGAUAGAAUAAGCACACUUCUCGAUAAAACAUUUCACUGAAAUAAGCUUUUUUAGGUAUUAAAUGCUAAAACAACUGGACACUGUAUUUGGACGCGUUCUGGUUGUCAGACUGUGGAUCACGUUCAUACCUAGCUAACCAAAAUUAUGUUCUAAGAAUGUUUUAAUAACGUUCCCAUGAAGUUAUGAAAGCAUUAUUUCUGAAGGUUCUCUGAAUGUUCAAAACGUUCAGUUUUUUAAAUGUUUGAGAAACGUCUGUCCUUGGUUGUUUGAAUGUUAGGAGAACAAUCCAUUUUAUCGUUUAGCAAACAUUUUGGGAAUGUUACUUUUUUGAACAUUCUGAAAAAAGCAGUUACAUUAAAAAAAUUAGAACGGCUUCCCAAGCCUGAUUUUGAGUUGACGGUGGCCCCCAAAAGCGGUACUUUAAACAUGCAAAAAUGUGUGAAAGUCAUUACAAAACAACGAAACAUCAAACCAAGUGGCUUGUAUAACCAAAACAGAUAGAAUAAGCACACUUCUCGAUAAAACAUUUCACUGAAAUAAGCUUUUUUAGGUAUUAAAUGCUAAAACAACUGGACACUGUAUUUGGACGCGUUCUGGUUGUCAGACUGUGGAUCACGUUCAUACCUAGCUAACCAAAAUUAUGUUCUAAGAAUGUUUUAAUAACGUUCCCAUGAAGUUAUGAAAGCAUUAUUUCUGAAGGUUCUCUGAAUGUUCAAAACGUUCAGUUUUUUUAAAUGUUUGAGAAACGUCUGUCCUUGGUUGUUUGAAUGUUAGGAGAACAAUCCAUUUUAUCGUUUAGCAAACAUUUUGGGAAUGUUACUUUUUUGAACAUUCUGAAAAAAGCAGUUACAUUAAAAAAAUUUAAAAAAAAGUUAGACAAACGUCCAACUAAAACGUUUCAGAAAACAAUGUGUAGAUGAUUUGUGCUAACGUUUCGAGAGCAUGAUUAAAGGGAUAGUUCACCCAAAAAUCGAAACGUAUUUCUUUCUCCGACUCAUUAUCAUGUCGUUCCAAACCUAUAUGUGUUUCUCUCUUCUGCUGAACACAAAAGAACCUAUUUUAAAGAAUGUUGGUAACCAAACAGUUGUUUGUACCAUUGACUUCCAUAGUAUUAUUUUUCUUUCAUACUAUGGAAGUCAAUGGGGUUUUUGGCCUUUCAUUUACACGACAACGGCUUUUGGGGGUCUGAAAAAAAGUUCA